rnacentral:rRNA from 1 species
GACGAACGCUGGCGGCGUGCUUAACACAUGCAAGUCGAACGGUGAAGCUCCAGCUUGCUGGAGUGGAUCAGUGGCGAACGGGUGAGUAACACGUGAGCAACCUGCCCCUGACUCUGGAAUAAGCGCUGGAAACGGCGUCUAAUACUGGAUACGAGAAGGGUCCGCAUGGGCACUUUCUGGAAAGUUUUUCGGUUGGGGAUGGGCUCGCGGCCUAUCAGCUUGUUGGUGAGGUAAUGGCUCACCAAGGCGACGACGGGUAGCCGGCCUGAGAGGGCGACCGGCCACACUGGGACUGAGACACGGCCCAGACGCCUACGGGAGGCAGCAGGGGGGAAUAUUGCACAAUGGGCGAAAGCCUGAUGCAGCGACGCCGCGUGAGGGACGACGGCCUUCGGGUUGUAAACCUCUUUCAGCAGGGAAGAAGCGAAAGUGACGGUACCUGCAGAAGAAGCACCGGCUAACUACGUG